rnacentral:rRNA from 1 species
AACGAACGCUGGCGGCAUGCCUAACACAUGCAAGUCGAACGAGACCUUCGGGUCUAGUGGCGCACGGGUGCGUAACGCGUGGGAACCUGCCCUUAGGUUCGGAAUAACUCCCCGAAAGGGGUGCUAAUACCGGAUAAUGUCUUCGGACCAAAGAUUUAUCGCCUUUGGAUGGGCCCGCGUUGGAUUAGCUAGUUGGUAGGGUAAAAGCCUACCAAGGCGACGAUCCAUAGCUGGUCUGAGAGGAUGAUCAGCCACACUGGGACUGAGACACGGCGCAGACUCCUACGGGAGGCAGCAGUGGGGAAUAUUGGACAAUGGGCGAAAGCCUGAUCCAGCAAUGCCGCGUGAGUGAUGAAGGCCUUAGGGUUGUAAAGCUCUUUUACCCGGGAUGAUAAUGACGGUACCGGGAGAAUAAGCUCCGGCUAACUCCGUG